rnacentral:lncRNA from 1 species
UCAUAAGAGAUGAUCCAUGGAGGGUGCCACAAACACGAUACACAACCGCUAAGAAAGGAAAGCUUCCACAAGGUGAUACUGUACCAUCACUCUUCAAGUAAGGUAACAUCUUAAGGUACUUGACUAUCACUUUUAUAAGCUUCUCCUUGGUUCUAGCGUUCACAUAAGUAAAAGAGACAAACAUGUAUGAUUUACAACUCUAGAUUAACCAACCCAACUGAUUCAGCAUGUUUAGUCCUUUAAUCUUUGAUCCUAGUACUACCUCCAUGAUCCCACACUCCUAAUCAUAUGAGCUAAAUGUUGCACACUCAAUCUUUGAGAGAUAUAAAGAAAAAGACAUAUACAUAGAUAGAUUAUCUUUCCAUAAGGUUGAGCGAUCUGAUCUGACAAUUGUUUUAAAUGCUACACUCAUGAACUUAUCACCCAUCAACUUUAUCUUGCUCCCUAUGCUUAAGGAUAGAGAAGAAUAAAUAUACUUUUGGUUCUGUUGGUGUUUUCCACCAACAGGGCCCAUGCACUUGAUCUCUGCCUUGUCUCUAUGAGCAGGACACAUUUUGAGAAACAUGGAGGAUUUUAUAACUCCCAGACUCUACCAAGUGAAGGACGUGGAUCUACGAGCAUAAACACACUGAGCAAGAUACUGCCAACGCUGCACUUCGAACUACUAGGCAAAUGAAGAACAUGGGUGACACCGUAUCAAGAGGUGCAGACGUCAAUGUCCACACCUGAAUCAAAUGACGCACCUGAAGAAUAAACACGGUGAGAAGUAUUGUUCAGAAGACUUAAAACACUGAACCCUCGUCGAAAGGUAAAAUCGGUAGUUAUCCAUAUUUAUCCUUUCUGCAUUCCCUUUCCCCUUUAAUUACUUACUUUCCUUAAAUGGCUUGUUAGUUAGUCAUGCUAUCUUGAAAAGAAAAUAAAAAUGUUAAAAAUAGUAAGCCCCAUGUGAGUAUGCACGUAGCAUAAAACCCAUA